rnacentral:tRNA from 1 species
UUUGUGUUAGCAAAAUUUUGCGAUUGAGUUAGAUUCAGUAGAUGUACUUUAUAUUUGGUGCACACAAUA